GUGUCAGGCUGUUGUCUCAUAAAUGUAUAUCCCACAUACUUACUUAUUGAUAUAACAUUGUGGAAUUUGCAUUUAAGAAAUACUCAUUAUUAUUCAUUUAUCAAAAGGUAUCAUUCAUGAAAAUAUUUUUAUUUGAACAGUUAAUUUAUACAAGCAUUACUUGACAACAACUGAUUCUAAGAUUUUUAAAUUUGUGGAAAUGAAUAACUGAAUAUUGAA
rnacentral:lncRNA from 1 species